rnacentral:rRNA from 1 species
GAUGAACGCUAGCUACAGGCUUAACACAUGCAAGUCGAGGGGAAACGACAUCGAAAGCUUGCUUUUGAUGGGCGUCGACCGGCGCACGGGUGAGUAACGCGUAUCCAACCUGCCCACCACUUGGGGAUAACCUUGCGAAAGUAAGACUAAUACCCAAUGAUAUCCCACGAAGGCAUCCGAAUGGGAUUAAAGAUUUAUCGGUGAUGGAUGGGGAUGCGUCUGAUUAGCUUGUUGGCGGGGUAACGGCCCACCAAGGCUACGAUCAGUAGGGGUUCUGAGAGGAAGGUCCCCCACAUUGGAACUGAGACACGGUCCAAACUCCUACGGGAGGCAGCAGUGAGGAAUAUUGGUCAAUGGACGAGAGUCUGAACCAGCCAAGUAGCGUGCAGGAUGACGGCCCUAUGGGUUGUAAACUGCUUUUAUAAGGGAAUAAAGUGGGUCACGUGUGACUUUUUGCAUGUACCUUAUGAAUAAGGACCGGCUAAUUCCGUG